rnacentral:ribozyme from 1 species
UGCCCAGCAACUUCUAUCCCUACCUCCUCGCGGUACUGGCCGGGGUACGAGUAACCUUGGGGAAGAUCGGGUAACCAACCCCGGUAGGAACUUUGGUCGUAUACUGACAGAGAAGG